AUAUCAAUAAGCGGAGGAAAAGAAACCAACAGGGAUUGCCUCAGUAACGGCGAGUGAAGCGGCAACAGCUCAAAUUUGAAAUCUGGCCUCGCGGCCCGAGUUGUAAUUUGUAGAGGAUGCUUCGAGCAUGGUCUGGCCUAAGUUCCUUGGAACAGGACGUCGUAGAGGGUGAGAAUCCCGUAUGCGGCCAGGUGCCUACGCUCAUGUGAAGCUCCUUCGACGAGUCGAGUUGUUUGGGAAUGCAGCUCAAAAUGGGUGGUAAAUUUCAUCUAAAGCUAAAUAUUGGCCAGAGACCGAUAGCGCACAAGUAGAGUGAUCGAAAGAUGAAAAGCACUUUGGAAAGAGAGUUAAACAGUACGUGAAAUUGUUGAAAGGGAAGCGCUUGCAACCAGACUUGCGCGCGGCCGAUCAUCCGGUGUUCUCACCGGUGCACUCGGUCGUGCUCAGGCCAGCAUCGGUUUCGGUGGUUGGAUAAAGGCCCUAGGAAUGUAGCUUCUCUCGGGGAGUGUUAUAGCCUAGGGUGCAAUGCAGCCUACCGGGACCGAGGACCGCGCUUCGGCUAGGAUGCUGGCGUAAUGGUUGUAAGCGA
rnacentral:rRNA from 1 species